CGGUGUGAACAGGUUACAUGUGGUACAGCAUGAUAGUGGAAUAUGCUGCAUCACGUGUAACCUCCCCACACUGC
ncrna:Ornithorhynchus anatinus (platypus) microRNA oan-mir-1421al precursor